rnacentral:rRNA from 1 species
GACAGAGGAUGCAAGCGUUAUCCGGAAUGAUUGGGCGUAAAGCGUCUGUAGGUGGCUUUUUAAGUCCGCCGUCAAAUCCCAGGGCUCAACCCUGGACAGGCGGUGGAAACUACCAAACGCUGGGAGUACGGUAGGGGCAGGAGGGGAAUUUCCGGUGGAGCGGUGAAAUGCGUAGAGUAUCGGAAAGAACACCAAACGGCGAAAGCACUCUGCUGGGCCGACACUGACACUGAGAGACGAAAGCUAGGGGAGCGAAUGGG